rnacentral:rRNA from 1 species
UCAAGUAAUUAAGUGCUAAAGGCGGAUGCCUUGGCAUCUAGAGGCGAUGAAGGACGUUGUAACUUGCGAUAAGCCCCGGUGAGCCAGUACACAGGCUAUGACCCGAGGAUUUCCGAAUGGGGAAACCCGACAUUUAUGUCACCACUUAGGUGGAGCUAACCCGGAGAACUGAAACAUCUUAGUACCCGGAGGAAAAGAAAUCAAUUGAGAUUCCGUUAGUAGUGGCGAGCGAAAGCGGAGCAGCCCUUAAGCUAUAUUUAGUUUAGUAGAAUGUUAUGGAAAGGACAGCCACAGUAGGUGAUAGCCCUGUAUACGAAAGACUAUAUAUAGUGAAAUCGAGUAGGUCGGAACACGUGAAAUUUUGACUGAACAUGGGAGGACCAUCUUCCAAGGCUAAAUACUCCUAGAUGACCGAUAGUGAACAAGUACCGUGAGGGAAAGGUGAAAAGUCCCCCUGUUAGGGGAGUGAAAUAGUACCUGAAACCUUUAGCAUACAAUCAGUCAGAGCCCUUCGGGGUGAUGGCGUACCUUUUGUAUAAUGGGUCAGCGACUUAAUUUCAGUAGCAAGCUUAACGUUAGGUAGGCGUAGGGAAACCGAGUCUUAAAUGGGCGAAUUAGUUGCUGGAAUUAGACCCGAAACCAAGCGAUCUAUCCAUGGUCAGGUUGAAGUGUGAGUAACAUCACAUGGAGGACCGAACCCACUUAUGUUGAAAAAUGAGGGGAUGAACUGUGGAUAGGGGUGAAAGGCCAAUCAAGCUUGGAGAUAGCUGGUUCUCUCCGAAAACUAUUUAGGUAGUGCCUCUUGUAUUACCAAUGGGGGUAGAGCACUGUUUCGGCUAGGGGGUCAUCCCGACUUACCAAACCGAUGCAAACUCCGAAUACCAUUGAGUAUUAGCAAGGGAGACAGACUGCGGGUGAUAACGUCCGUAGUCGAAAGGGAAACAACCCAGACCAACAGCUAAGGUCCCAAAUUAUGAUUAAGUGGAAAACGAUGUGAAUAGACUUAUACAGCUAGGAGGUUGGCUUAGAAGCAGCCAUCCUUUAAAGAAAGCGUAAUAGCUCACUAGUCUAGUUUGUCUGCGCGGAAGAUUUACCGGGGCUAAAUCAUAAACCGAAGCUUUGGAUCAUCUUCGGAUGAUGGUAGGAGAGCGUUCUGUAAGCCUGUGAAGGUGAACCGAGAGGUUUGCUGGAGGUAUCAGAAGUGCGAAUGCUGACAUGAGUAACGAAUAAGGAGGUGAAAAACCUCCUCGCCGGAAGACUAAGGAUUCCUCUCCAACGCUUUUCGUGGGAGGGUUAGUCGGCCCCUAAGGCGUACCCGAAAGGGGAAGUCGAUGGGAAACAGGUUAAUAUUCCUGUACCAGUUGGAAGUGACGGAUCUAGUAUAUUGUAUACACUUAUUGGAUUGUGUAUGCCGUGAAUAGGUUCCAAGAAAUAGCUCCAACAUAGACCGUACCAUAAACCGACACAGGUGGUCAGGUAGAGAAUACCAAGGCGGAUGAGAUAACUCUGGUGAAGGAACUAGGCAAAAUGUAACCGUAACUUCGGGAGAAGGUUAGCCAAUUAGAAGGCAACUUUUAAUUGGUCGAAGAUACCAGGUGGCUGCGACUGUUUACUAAAAACACAGCACUCUGCUAACACGAAAGUGGACGUAUAGGGUGUGACGCCUGCCCGGUGCCGGAAGGUUAAAUGAUGGGGUUAGCUUCGGCGAAGCUCUUGAUUGAAGCCCCGGUAAACGGCGGCCGUAACUAUAACGGUCCUAAGGUAGCGAAAUUCCUUGUCGGGUAAGUUCCGACCU